rnacentral:lncRNA from 1 species
GACCGCGCCGAGCUCUUUUGCUGCAUUUGCAACGAUCAAGUCUACGACGCCGACUUCGACUGGGUCGUCGUGUGCGCUCAGUCUGGAAAGAAGCACAGCGUCGUAAGUAGCGGGAGUGGAAACGCUGGCGGUGGUGGUGAUGGUUGCGGCGGAGAUAGUGGAAAUGGUGCCAGCCUUCUGGCAAAGCAUACCUCUUUCUCGAACGGGAGGACGAGUGGAAACGCUGGCGGUGGUGGCGGAGAUAGAAUCGAUGGUGGAAAAAGUGCUAGUUCUCUGGCAAAGUGUACCUCUUUCUCCAACGGGAGGACGGCUCCUCCUCUCAAUGUGUAUAGCCGGAAGAGGAACCGAGGGGCCGAGUACAAGCCGUGGG